GACGGAGGGUGCAAGCGUUGUUCGGAAUUACUGGGCGUAAAGGGCGCGUAGGCGGUCUGUUAAGUUCGGUGUGAAAGCCCUCGGCUUACCCGGGGAACUGCGCCGGAAACCGACAGACUCGAGUACCGGAGAGGAGGGUGGAAUUCCUGGUGUAGCGGUGAAAUGCGUAGAUAUCAGGAGGAACACCGGUGGCGAAGGCGGCCCUCUGGACGGAUACUGACGCUGAGGCGCGAAAGCGUGGGGAUCAAACAGG
rnacentral:rRNA from 1 species